CGGCCCAGAUGUUGCCACGUGUCAUCAUUUGGUAGAUCUUUGAUUCGAUCGCUUUCAUCUUGAUCAUUGAUAAAUCUUAAAUAUAGGGUCACUCUCAACCAAAUCUUCACUUUUCUCUAUUUUUGGUACUGGAACUCUACCGGAUCGUUGCCCCUACACCCAGGGUUGUUGCUCCAGCUCAAGUUAACUUUUCUUUCGAAUCCUUUUUCCUUGAAGUUCUUGCCUUCUUUGGAGUCAUUUUCAUGGCUAGGGUUUCUCCUUCUCGGGA
rnacentral:lncRNA from 1 species